UACGUAGGGUGCAAGCGUUAAUCGGAAUUACUGGGCGUAAAGCGUGCGCAGGCGGUUAUGCAAGACAGAUGUGAAAUCCCCGGGCUUAACCUGGGAACUGCAUUUGUGACUGCAUAGCUAGAGUACGGUAGAGGGGGAUGGAAUUCCGCGUGUAGCAGUGAAAUGCGUAGAUAUGCGGAGGAACACCGAUGGCGAAGGCAGUCCCCUGGACCUGUACUGAUGCUCAUGCACGAAAGCGUGGGGAGCAAACAGG
rnacentral:rRNA from 1 species